UACGAAGGGGGCUAGCGUUGCUCGGAAUUACUGGGCGUAAAGAGUGUGUAGGCGGUGCUCUAAGUUCGGUGUGAAAUCUCCCGGCUUAACUGGGAGGGUGCGCCGGAAACUGGAGUGCUCGAGCGUGGGAGAGGAAAGCGGAAUUCCUGGUGUAGCGGUGAGAUGCGUAGAUAUUAGGAAGAACACCGGUGGCGAAGGCGGCCCACUGGAUCGGUACUGACGCUGAGGUGCGAAAGCGUGGGGAGCAAACAGG
rnacentral:rRNA from 1 species